AUGUCCAUCCCAUUAGAAACUCUGUUUCGCUGUGCUUUUAUCUGCUUUAGACUCUUCCAGAUCUCUACAGUUGGGUUGAAAAUAGUAAUAGACAAAAGCCCUGGGAAGGAUUCAUCCCCUCAGCUCAACAGAGCAGAGAAAAAAUACGGAGAGGAGGAUUUUCUUGUGCCAGAGUCACCAUUUCCAUGGCUCAGUCGGUUCUCAUUUGUCAUCAGCCUAUCAGUCCAUAUGCCCCAGCGUGGAGGACCCUCUGUUCCUAGGACCUGUUUCACGGAUGUAUGACCAGUGCAGGCACUUGGAGUUUAAUGCUCUGCAAUGGCCAAUAAAAUUCUUCAUGCUUUAGUCUUCGUGCUUGUGCUCUGGGGGUGAAGUCUGAUGGGACAAUGAAGUCAGAGCCAGAGCCUUGGAACCUUGGUUCAGGGAAAGUCUUGCCAUCUGCCAUGCCUGUACCUCCCCAGGACAGAUGCUCAGGCACCUGCUCUCCUGCUCUUCCCAGCAGCUGCCUUGUGGCCUCCAACCCGAGCAGGGGGCCUGGGCGUGGGUGCAAGGGUGGUUGGGAUUGGGUGUGCACCCUAGGUGCCCAGCUGGGUGGAGCCGUGAAGUCAUCAUGCUCCCAAGAGGGCGCAACAUUGAAUAGUAAGUAAAAGAAACCAGGGCAAGUCAAGAGACAGAUGUCAAAAGCAAGAAGGGAGCUUUUUUUGCCAGCUUUGGGACCACAGAAGUCCUACCUUUUCAUUUUGCACUAUGCCUUGGAAAUGACAGAGCUGGCCCUAUCU
rnacentral:lncRNA from 1 species